rnacentral:rRNA from 1 species
AUGUGCUUCGAGUUCAGCUCGUGCUUCGGCGGCGGCAGGGACGACUACGGCGGCGAGCGGUCCAACCGCAACCGCAACGAGGCCGGCGAGCGGAACAACAACAGGAACGGCUACUACGGCGGCGCCGACCACAAGGCGCCGCAGACGACCUACCAGCAGCCGCCCGCCGCAGUCGACGAGGCCGACAUCGAGGCGCCCAAGCUUCCGGCGUGGCACAACAAGGUUAGCGACCACGCCUACACGGCGCGCCUCCAAGAAGCUGCUGCUGAUCACAGGAACAACGCCGCCACGGAUUACCACCAUUACCCAACUACCGCUCUCGGCAGGUACUAG